CCCCCCCCCAAGAUGAAGUUUUUCUUGGUGGGUGCAACUUCUUGAAGAUUGAAUGUGCUAUUGCUAGUUGUGCAUUUUGAUAGCUAGGCUCCUUUUACAUACGUAGAUGUAGUGAAGUUACUUAUUCAAAACCAAAACUAACAUAGAAGGAAAUCUCUUAUUGUUAAUAUUGUUCAGGACUGAUCUUGUCAACUCUAUGAGAUUCAGUUUUUUGUCCCCAAAUAUCCAUUGUAGGUGCUAAACUUGGAAUGACUGGAAAAUUGAUUUCUACACCGUUUGAAGCAAUAUAUGUUGGUCUUGGCACAUAUUUGGCUCCAUCUGGUGGUUAUAACACUAAAUAUGAAAUUUAAAUGUUUGUUUUUGAUGCAAGUCUAUAGUAUAUAUGUCUUGUGAUUCAGGAUUCAUUUCCUCUCAUGUUUAUUGACUUAAAAUAUUUGAAAAAAGUGUCUGUGCAAAAGUUGUUCCUUUAGCAGUGUCAAGUGGGAUAUACAACUUCACCAAUUGAAAAAAAUAAAAUAAAAUAAAAUAAAAUAAAACAAAAACAUCUGAUCCAACUACAAGACAAAAUCUCUUAAGAAAAAUAUCCCGCAUGGAGCCCAUCGCUUUAAGAACCAUACAGCAACAUUUCCAAUUUUUUUGUAGUAGUAACAAAUUGGUCGCUUUCUUCAGCAGAUGAAGAACACGCGGCCACAAAGUCUUGGAUGAGUUAUUGAAAGGAACACUAGUGAAGAUCUCAGAUAUGAUAGAAUGAGGUAUUUCUAUCUCCGAUGGCGAUGAAGAUAACCGAUCGACUCAUAUGAGCACGCGGCGGCUCUUGGUUGUGUCAGCACUCACCAACCAACUAUACUAAAUUAAAGUUGUUUCUGUGGGAUUAGGACAAUACGGGAUUACGGGUCGUACUUGUUGUGAUGUAUCAGUUUGGAUGAUCAACCUUCUUGUUUGCUCUUUUAAAGUUCAAACGAAUUAAUUGGUUAUAACAGUCAACUACGAAAUUGGAAAAUAAUGAGGAAAGCUGUGAAUCAGAAAAUCAGAAUGUCUGGCUCCAACUUUGGACCCCCA